AUUGAACGCUGGCGGCAUGCCUUACACAUGCAAGUCGAACGGUAACAGGUCUUCGGAUGCUGACGAGUGGCGAACGGGUGAGUAAUACAUCGGAACGUGCCCGAUCGUGGGGGAUAACGAAGCGAAAGCUUUGCUAAUACCGCAUACGAUCUACGGAUGAAAGCAGGGGACCGCAAGGCCUUGCGCGAACGGAGCGGCCGAUGGCAGAUUAGGUAGUUGGUGGGAUAAAAGCUUACCAAGCCGACGAUCUGUAGCUGGUCUGAGAGGACGACCAGCCACACUGGGACUGAGACACGGCCCAGACUCCUACGGGAGGCAGCAGUGGGGAAUUUUGGACAAUGGGCGAAAGCCUGAUCCAGCCAUGCCGCGUGCAGGAUGAAGGCCUUCGGGUUGUAAACUGCUUUUGUACGGAACGAAAAGACUCUGGUUAAUACCUGGGGUCCAUGACGGUACCGUAAGAAUAAGCACCGGCUAACUACGUGCCAGCCGCCGCCGUAACAC
rnacentral:rRNA from 1 species